UGGGGAAUAUUGCACAAUGGGCGCAAGCCUGAUGCAGCCAUGCCGCGUGCGUGAAGAAGGCCUUCGGGUUGUAAAGCACUUUCAGCGGGGAGGAAGGCGAUAAGGUUAAUAACCUUGUCGAUUGACGUUACCCGCAGAAGAAGCACCGGCUAACUCCGUGCCAGCAGCCGCGGUAAUACGGAGGGUGCAAGCGUUAAUCGGAAUUACUGGGCGUAAAGCGCACGCAGGCGGUCUGUCAAGUCGGAUGUGAAAUCCCCGGGCUUAACCUGGGAACUGCAUUCGAAACUGGCAGGCUAGAGUCUUGUAGAGGGGGGUAGAAUUCCAGGUGUAGCGGUGAAAUGCGUAGAGAUCUGGAGGAAUACCGGUGGCGAAGGCGGCCCCCUGGACAAAGACUGACGCUCAGGUGCGAAAGCGUGGGGAGCAAACAGG
rnacentral:rRNA from 1 species